rnacentral:lncRNA from 1 species
GGUCAUAGAUUAUGUUCAUCACUAUAUAGUAUAUGAUCAGAUAAUACAUAUCUAACAAAAUAGUUAUCUAACAACUCGUACACACAUCCAAGUAAAUUAAUAUAUAGUUUUUACAAUGUCAUAUUUACUAGUAUAUAAUAUAUUUAGAUUAUAUAUAUUCGAUGAGUUUUUGCUACAUACUUUAAGCUUCUUUAAUAUAUAUCCAGCAACGAUUCAAUACACACUUUCAGACAAAUUAAUACAUAUUCAAUAAAAUUGAUUUAUAGUUUCUCA